rnacentral:rRNA from 1 species
GCCCUUCGGGGUGGAUUAGUGGCGAACGGGUGAGUAACACGUGGGCAAUCUGCCCUUCACUCUGGGACAAGCCCUGGAAACGGGGUCUAAUACCGGAUACCACUCCUGCCUGCAUGGGCGGGGGUUGAAAGCUCCGGCGGUGAAGGAUGAGCCCGCGGCCUAUCAGCUUGUUGGUGGGGUAAUGGCCCACCAAGGCGACGACGGGUAGCCGGCCUGAGAGGGCGACCGGCCACACUGGGACUGAGACACGGCCCAGACUCCUACGGGAGGCAGCAGUGGGGAAUAUUGCACAAUGGGCGAAAGCCUGAUGCAGCGACGCCGCGUGAGGGAUGACGGCCUUCGGGUUGUAAACCUCUUUCAGCAGGGAAGAAGCGAAAGUGACGGUACCUGCAGAAGAAGCGCCGGCUAACUACGUGCCAGCAGCCGCGGUAAUACGUAGGGCGCAAGCGUUGUCCGGAAUUAUUGGGCGUAAAGAGCUCGUAGGCGGCUUGUCACGUCGGAUGUGAAAGCCCGAGGCUUAACCUCGGGUCUGCAUUCGAUACGGGCUAGCUAGAGUGUGGUAGGGGAGAUCGGAAUUCCUGGUGUAGCGGUGAAAUGCGCAGAUAUCAGGAGGAACACCGGUGGCGAAGGCGGAUCUCUGGGCCAUUACUGACGCUGAGGAGCGAAAGCGUGGGGAGCGAACAGGAU